CCCGCUGAACUUAAGCAUAUCAAUAAGCGGAGGAAAAGAAACUAACAAGGAUUCCCCUAGUAACUGCGAGUGAAGCGGGAAAAGCUCAAAUUUAAAAUCUGGCGGUCUUUCGGCCGUCCGAGUUGUAAUCUGGAGAAGCGUUUAUCCGCGUUGGACCGUGUACAAGUCUUCUGGAAGGGAGCGUCAUAGAGGGUGAGAAUCCCGUCUACGACACGGACUACCAGUGCUUUGUGAUACACUCUCAACGAGUCGAGUUGUUUGGGAAUGCAGCUCAAAAUGGGUGGUAAAUUCCAUCUAAAGCUAAAUACAGGCGAAAGACCGAUAGCGAACAAGUACCGUGAGGGAAAGAUGAAAAGCACUUUGGAAAGAGAGUUAAACAGUACGUGAAAUUGUUGAAAGGGAAACGCUUGAAGUCAGUCGCGUCUUCAGAAAUUCAGCCUGGCUUCUGCCUGGUGUACUUUUCUGUUGGACGGGCCAGCAUCAGUUUUGACCGUCAGAAAAAGGCGAGAGGAAGGUGGCACCUCCGGGUGUGUUAUAGCCUCUCGUCGUAUGUGACGGCUGGGACUGAGGACCGCAGCACGCCUUCAUGGCCGGGGUUCGCCCACGUAACGUGCUUAGGAUGCUGGCGUAAUGGCUUUAAACGACCCGUUCUUGAAAACACGG
rnacentral:rRNA from 1 species